rnacentral:lncRNA from 1 species
UCUGUCGUUCGGCGGCCAUAGCAGCCACCCGACGCCCUCUGGCCGCAUCUCCACUGGCUAUGCCUCCCUCCAACACCGUCGCUUCCUCUCUCUUUCUUUCUCUUUAUCUCUCAAUUAAAAGUCCUAUUGGACAAUACCAAGCCACGGAGGCCUCCGCAGCCCUUCAACGGCCUCAGUGGGCCAUCGCCAGUCUCCGACAGUGUCGUGCCCUAUCUUCGUCCCCUCCUCUCUCUCUCUUUCCCUCUCCCUCCUCCAGUGUGCCAUUUUCCUCGGCCGAACCAUCCCGAUUUGCCACCGGGACGGUUCGGAAUGCCCUGAACCGUCUGGUUCGAGAUGGUUCGGUGAACCUUGCAUCAGAUACUUGGACACUUAUUGAUUUCUUUAAUUGUGGCUUAAAAAAAUUGUAAGGAAUUGGACUCCGACAAUAAGUUUGACCAACUACAAUAAGCUUAGAUGUGAAAAUUUGUUCCUUCAAGA